rnacentral:misc_RNA from 1 species
UCCGGUUUAACACCGGCAGUCUUGUUAGAGUGCCCGACAUGACUCGCUGGCAACUAACAAUAAGGGUUUCGCUCGUUAUGGGACUUAACCCGACACUUCACAGCACGAGCUGACGACAGCCAUGCAGCACCUGUGAUAGUUCCGGAUUGGAUACCGGUCGUUCUACUUUCAUAGUUCUACUUCUACCAUGUCAAGUCCAGGAUAAGGUUCUUCGCGUUGCUUCGAAUUGAGCCACAUGCUCCACCGCUUGUGUGAGCCCCCGUCAAUUCCUUUGAGUUUUAGCCUUGCGACCGUACUUCCCAGGUGGCAGACUUAACAAUUUUUCUCCGACCGCAAUGGGGUAAGACCCACUGCAAUCUAGUCUGCAUCGUUUAGGGCGUGGACUA